CAACAAAUUCCCAAAAUAAAAUAUAAAGUGCAUUCAAAAUGACAUUCUUACAAAGUGUUUUAAGUAAAUCUCUGGCCCCUGCUAUUCCAGCCAUGUGAGUGGAACGUCAGUGAUUCAAAUCGUCCCACUAUCCAGCCCGUCGCAGAUGUUACCAUAUGGAACGCUCAACUAAAAAUACAAGUCAAGGCGUGCUGAAACGGCUACAUCCUGGGCUACAUUUGACUAAAAUUAGUAAAUUAAAACAAGUUUGCUGGAGUUGCUGAAAGAUAAUUCAAAAGGAUCUAUUUGUGCAGUAACCACAAUUCGUGCCACGAACUACGUUUUUAUCCAAGUCGUCACGUAUAUAUACCCAAGUCAACGCAAAAUGUUCUCUUAUGUGAACGAAGAGACUCACGCGCAUGCUUCUGGUUUCGGGAUUCGACCGCACCUUUUUCCAAUGGGAAGGAAGGAUCUUUUAGUAACUCAUCAGUCUCACAAGGGACUAACACUACAAGGCACGACCACCCACCAUCUCUGCGUCCCUCAGGAUUCAACAAAUCCUGGUUUCAUCGGUCGCCGUUUAUCAAGAACGGUGUGCUCAUUCAUUUAUUCAAACCUGCGACUUCUCAAGAACUUUUUCCCAUAAAAGUUUUUUGUCCGUCUAAUCCGGAACAUAUCAUCGAUGGCCGCUCAGCAGGUCGAAGCAACUGGAGAACAACAUGUUUCGCCGACGUUAGUAAUCAACAAAAACAAAGGUCUAGGAAAUGGGGUUUUCG